UAGCUAAACGCACCCGUCUCGCGUGGAUA
rnacentral:sRNA from 1 species